CGCGAGCAAGCAAGUCUUUAUUACAGGAAAGCAAAUAGCUGCCAGCACGGACACUGGGAAGGGGAAGAAGAGUCCGCCUUUCUAAUCUUCUAAGGAGGUUUUAUCUCUUAAAGACAAGGGUACAGGAGUUCCCAUCAUGGUGCAGCAGAAACAUAUUCGACUAGGAACCAUGAAGUUGUGGGUUUGAUCCCUGGCCUCGCCCAGUGGCUUGGGAAUCCAGUGUUGCUGUGAGCUGCGGUGUAGGUUGAAGACGCGGCUCGGAUCCCAGGUGGCUGUGGCUGUGGCAUAGGCCGGUGGCUACAGCUCUUGAUUAGACCCCAUCCUGGGAACUUCCCUAUGCUGCAGGCGCGGCCCUAAAAGGACAAAAACAAAAAUAAAAUAUGACUAAAACUUAAAAAGAGAUGACGAAACGUGAUACAACUAAGCCUGGGAAAGGGAACUUGCUCAGGACCCACAGCGUCAGCUGUGUCUAGACUUUCCAUUCCUUCAUGGACUCAGAAAAGAAGGCAGGACGGCUAAACCUGAGACUGGCUCCACCAUUUACUACCUGUGUCACCUGGAGAGGAUCACUUAUCUGUUGAAAGUGGUGUGACACCAACUCAGCGCCUACAUUAAAGGCUUACGGCAAGGAAUCAGUGGUGAAACAUGCCCAGCUCUUAGUACACGACUGUCAAGGAAACAUUAGUAAUUGACCUGAGAGUGGCUGGGCAUUGAGAUGAUUAAGACAAUACCCUAUGUUAAGAAUCCCACAGUGGGAGCUCCCUGGGGCUGAAUGGGUUAAGGAUUUGGCAUUGCCGCUGCUGUGGCACGGGCUGGGGAACUUCCACAGGGCAAGGGGUGGCCAAAAAGGAAAAAAAGAAUCCCACACAGUAGUGGGAUAAACAGCCACAUGAGCAGGUAAUUAUAGUACAGUCAUCUCUUCCUAACCGUGGGUACCUCAUCCAUGGAUUCAACCAACUUUGGGUGGAAAAUAUUUGAAACGAAUUUCCAAAAAACAAAACUUGAAUUUGUCCUGUGCUGCCAACUAUUUACAUGGCCUUUACAUUGUAUCAGGAAUUAUAUGAGUUCCCAUCAUGGCUCAGUGGUUAACAAAGGCGACUAGUAUCCCUGAGGAUGCAGGUUCGAGGCCUGGCCUUGCUCAGUGGGUUAAAGAUCCGGUGUUGCUGUGAGCUGUGAUGUAGGUCACAGAUGCAGCUCAGAUCCUGAGGUGCCGUGGCUGUGACGUAGGCCGGCAGCUGUACCUCUGAUUUGACCUCUAGCCUGGGAACGUCCAUAUGCUGCAGGUGCAGCCCUAAAAAAAAAAAAAAAAAAGAGAGAGAGAGAGAGAGAGACCAAAAAGAAAGGAAUAAAUAAGCUAGAGAUGAUUUGAAGUACACAGGGGAGUUCCCAUUGUGGCUUAGUGGUAAUGAACCCGACUAGUAUCCGUGAAGACUUGGGUUCAAUCCCUGGCCUCGCUCUGUGGGUUAAAGGAUCCAGUGUUGCUGUGAGCUGUGGUGAAGGUCACAGACACUGCUCAGAUCCUGCAUUGCUAGGGCUGUGGCGUCGGCCAGCAGCUACAGCUCCCGUUCAACCCCUACCCUGGGAACUUCCACAUGCUGCGGGUGCAGCCCCAAAAAGACGGAAAAAAAAAAAAGUAUACAGGAAGAUGUGUAUACGUCAUUUUAUAUAAGGGGCAUGAGCGCCUGGGGGCUGGUGUCUACAGGGUGUCCGGGACCAGCGCCCCGAGGAUACUGAGAGAUGACUCUAACGUGACCCUGCAGAGAUAAAGGCAGGUCCGGUGGCUGAAGACACUCUGACAUCUCUUGCCCCGCCCCCGUCCAGACGGUUUCGGGGGAGGGAUCCGAAAACGCCUUAUCUAAGUGUAGAAGGAUGGGUAGGAGCUGGCCAGUUGAAAAAUAAGUGACACAGUGGGGUAUCUGCCUCAAAAGGGAUUUCCCACUGUCCAUGGGACUAACAUGGCCUCAAGUGGUAUUCUCUAUAUUCACGUUUUCUUAAAAAAUUGAUUUCAGGAGUUCCCGUCGUGGCUCAGUGGUUAACGAAUCCAACUGGGAACCAUGAGGUUGUGGGUUCGAUCCCUGGCCUUGCUGAGUGGGUUAAGGAUCCGUGUUGCUGUGAGCUGUGGUGUAGGGUGCAGAUGCAGCUCAGAUCCUGCGUGGCUGUGGCUGUGGUAUAGGCUGGCGGCGACAGCUCCGACUGGACCCCUAGCUUGCGAACCUCCACACGCUGUGGGUGUGGCCCUAGAAAAAACAAAAAAGCAGAAAGAAUCAAACAAACAAAUAUCCUUGAAGGGAGUUCCUGUCCUGGCUCAGGGGAAACAAAUUUGACUAGUAUCCAUGAGGACGCAGGUUUGAGGCCCUAAAAAGACAAAAAAAAAAAGUAUAAAUUAAAAAUAAAAAUAGGAGUUAUUGAAAAGAUAACUAUAAACUAGAAAGAACUACAAAAAGCCUUGAAGUACAAACUUCAAAAGCUUCGCAUCUAUAGAUAAACCAUGUCUUGUUUUUUAUUAAUAAAAGAGGAAUUCCUGGGAGUUUAUAUUGUGCCUCAGCAGUAAUGAACCUGCCUAGUAUCUAUAUGUGGACCUGCUCAGUGG
rnacentral:lncRNA from 1 species